rnacentral:lncRNA from 1 species
GGCGAUUGGUGAGGGGGAUCUUCCAGUGGAUUCCAAUAACUCUGUUCACACAUGCCUCGUAACAAAAUUUCAGCCAGCUGUCUUGCUAUCGUCAUUCGCAGAUUUUGUGUAGUUCUUGUUUCAACAGCUCUUAGUAAUUCUCUAAAUCUACCAACUCCUCUUGUCAAGUUCCCGUUCUUGAAAUAUAAAACAUGUGCCCUCUGUAGUCCCGUUUCCAAGAAAAAACCAAGUUCCUGUUCAUGUGUAGUAGGCCCUGGCUUAGGGCUUCUGUUUUGAAUAUUAGUAUUAAUUACCCUUUCUAUCUCCUGAAGGUAUAGAAGUGCAAUAUCCCCGGCUUUCUCAUAGCACGUAACAAUUU